rnacentral:rRNA from 1 species
CUACGGGGCGCUGCAGUUAAGUAUCUUCUACAAUGCACGAAAGUGUGAUAGAGUGAAUCAGAGUGCGUUUCAAUUGAAACGCUUUUGCUAAAUGUAAAAAGUUUGGCGAAUAAGGACUGAGUAAGACGAGUGCCAGCCGCCGCGGUAAUACUCGCGGUCCAAGUCGCAGCCAUUUUUAUUGGGUCUAAAACAUCCGUAGCUUGUUUGAUAAGUCUCCUGUGAAAUCUGACAUCUCAAGUGUUGGGCGUGCGGGAGGUACUGUCAAGCUAGAGACUGGAAGACGUGAAGAGUACAAUCGAGGUAAUGGUAAAAUAUGUUAAUCUCGGCUGGACUAACAAGAGCGAAGGCACUUCACGAGGACAGUUCUGACAGUAAGGGAUGAAGGCCAGGGGCGCAAAACGGAUUAGAUACCCCAGUAGUC